UACGGAAGGCAGCAGUGGGGAAUAUUGCACAAUGGGCGAAAGCCUGAUGCAGCUAUGCCGCGUGUAUGAAGAAGGCCUUAGGGUUGUAAAGUACUUUCAUCGGGGAGGAAAAAACAAAACUAAUAAUUUUAUUUCUUGACGUUACCCGAAAAAGGAGCACCGGCUAACUCCGUGCCAGCAGCCGCGGUAAUACGGAGGGUGCUAGCGUUAAUCAGAAUUACUGGGCGUAAAGAGCACGUAGGUGGUUUUUUUAAGUCAGAUGUGAAAUCCCUGGGCUUAACCUGGAACUGCAUUUUGAAACUGAAAUACUAGAGUAUCGUAGAGGGAGGUAGAAUUCUAGGUGUAGCGGUGAAAUGCGUAGAUAUCUGGAGGAAUACCUGUGGCGAAAGCGGCCUCCUAAACGAAUACUGACACUGAGGUGCGAAAGCGU
rnacentral:rRNA from 1 species